UACAGUAUAAUAAGAUAUUAAGGUUUAUAGCUUACGUUGUUUUGAUGAAAAUACUUGCACAGUUCAAAAUUUAUGUAGAAUAGAAGACGGAAAAUAAUGAUAUUAUCUGUAGGGGAUUUGAUGAUAAUUUUCUGAUCCAUGCUGUUUGGCCAGGAAACUAAUGAUUGAUGGACUUGUACAAGAAAUUAAACUUUUACUUGGGGGAUCGAUUAGUUAUUUGCUCGUGCGGACUCUCUGCAUCUCCCUAUCUCCCUCCGUUGGGCUCCUUCUCAAAUCGGAUCCGUAGCGAUCUCCGCUUCUCGAAUCGAAUCCAUUGCUCUAGCUUGGGCUAUCCUCGAGACAAGGGUGUAGGUAUUAAAUUCCCACAUGAAUAAGAGCUCACUUUUCCUCCCCACACUCUCGGGUAAGAAGAGCCAUUAAUGAGAUAGGGGAGGAGAUUUCAGACAGCAGCUGUAGGGAUUGACUUGAUGAAUUGAAAUAAUUUGCUUCGAGGUUGUGGCUGGAGCAGUUAAAGCUGUUGCAACGAGCUCACAUGCGGAUCUGAAAUUCCCCUGAAGUACCAGUCAGAAAAGAGAACAUCUAUGUUCAAUGACAUGGCAACAGCUGGCCAUCGUAAAUGUUAAUCUUGACACUGUUGGUUUCUGGAGGCCCUGCUCUGGCUUUUUUGGAAUGCAAUGAUGACUUUGUAACUUUCUACUUGGUUGAUCUCAAAUAAUUGAGCUGAGCUAGGUUAGGUUCAUUCUGAACUUUGUGGUGCCCCUACUCAUUCAUGGCUCCUUUUUAGAAUACGCAGUACAAAAAAUCUGGCCCAUUAGAGUACUCCUCUGAAAUCUACUGUUCGAUUGAUUGAAAAUAUUUAU